rnacentral:rRNA from 1 species
CCUACUGGUGGCAGCAGUGGGGAAUAUUGGACAAUGGGGGCAACCCUGAUCCAGCCAUGCCGCGUGUGUGAAGAAGGCCCUCGGGUUGUAAAGCACUUUCAGUGAGGAAGAACGCCUGGUGGUUAAUACCCAUCAGGAAAGACAUCACUCACAGAAGAAGCACCGGCUAACUCCGUGCCAGCAGCCGCGGUAAUACGGAGGGUGCGAGCGUUAAUCGGAAUUACUGGGCGUAAAGCGCGCGUAGGUGGCUUGAUAAGCCGGUUGUGAAAGCCCCGGGCUCAACCUGGGAACGGCAUCCGGAACUGUCAAGCUAGAGUGCAGGAGAGGAAGGUAGAAUUCCCGGUGUAGCGGUGAAAUGCGUAGAGAUCGGGAGGAAUACCAGUGGCGAAGGCGGCCUUCUGGACUGACACUAACACUGAGGUGCGAAAGCGUGGGUAGCAAACAGGAUUAGAUACCCUGGUAGUC